GGUUAAGCGACUAAGCGUACACGGUGGAUGCCCUGGCAGUCAGAGGCGAUGAAGGACGUGCUAAUCUGCGAUAAGCGUCGGUAAGGUGAUAUGAACCGUUAUAACCGGCGAUUUCCGAAUGGGGAAACCCAGUGUGAUUCGUCACACUAUCAUUAACUGAAUCCAUAGGUUAAUGAGGCGAACCGGGGGAACUGAAACAUCUAAGUACCCCGAGGAAAAGAAAUCAACCGAGAUUCCCCCAGUAGCGGCGAGCGAACGGGGAGCAGCCCAGAGCCUGAAUCAGUGUGUGUGUUAGUGGAAGCGUCUGGAAAGGCGCGCGAUACAGGGUGACAGCCCCGUACACAAAAAUGCACAUGCUGUGAGCUCGAUGAGUAGGGCGGGACACGUGGUAUCCUGUCUGAAUAUGGGGGGACCAUCCUCCAAGGCUAAAUACUCCUGACUGACCGAUAGUGAACCAGUACCGUGAGGGAAAGGCGAAAAGAACCCCGGCGAGGGGAGUGAAAAAGAACCUGAAACCGUGUACGUACAAGCAGUGGGAGCACGCUUAGGCGUGUGACUGCGUACCUUUUGUAUAAUGGGUCAGCGACUUAUAUUCUGUAGCAAGGUUAACCGAAUAGGGGAGCCGAAGGGAAACCGAGUCUUAACUGGGCGUUAAGUUGCAGGGUAUAGACCCGAAACCCGGUGAUCUAGCCAUGGGCAGGUUGAAGGUUGGGUAACACUAACUGGAGGACCGAACCGACUAAUGUUGAAAAAUUAGCGGAUGACUUGUGGCUGGGGGUGAAAGGCCAAUCAAACCGGGAGAUAGCUGGUUCUCCCCGAAAGCUAUUUAGGUAGCGCCUCGUGAAUUCAUCUCCGGGGGUAGAGCACUGUUUCGGCAAGGGGGUCAUCCCGACUUACCAACCCGAUGCAAACUGCGAAUACCGGAGAAUGUUAUCACGGGAGACACACGGCGGGUGCUAACGUCCGUCGUGAAGAGGGAAACAACCCAGACCGCCAGCUAAGGUCCCAAAGUCAUGGUUAAGUGGGAAACGAUGUGGGAAGGCCCAGACAGCCAGGAUGUUGGCUUAGAAGCAGCCAUCAUUUAAAGAAAGCGUAAUAGCUCACUGGUCGAGUCGGCCUGCGCGGAAGAUGUAACGGGGCUAAACCAUGCACCGAAGCUGCGGCAGCGACACUAUGUGUUGUUGGGUAGGGGAGCGUUCUGUAAGCCUGUGAAGGUGUGCUGUGAGGCAUGCUGGAGGUAUCAGAAGUGCGAAUGCUGACAUAAGUAACGAUAAAGCGGGUGAAAAGCCCGCUCGCCGGAAGACCAAGGGUUCCUGUCCAACGUUAAUCGGGGCAGGGUGAGUCGACCCCUAAGGCGAGGCCGAAAGGCGUAGUCGAUGGGAAACAGGUUAAUAUUCCUGUACUUGGUGUUACUGCGAAGGGGGGACGGAGAAGGCUAUGUUGGCCGGGCGACGGUUGUCCCGGUUUAAGCGUGUAGGCUGGUUUUCCAGGCAAAUCCGGAAAAUCAAGGCUGAGGCGUGAUGACGAGGCACUACGGUGCUGAAGCAACAAAUGCCCUGCUUCCAGGAAAAGCCUCUAAGCAUCAGGUAACAUCAAAUCGUACCCCAAACCGACACAGGUGGUCAGGUAGAGAAUACCAAGGCGCUUGAGAGAACUCGGGUGAAGGAACUAGGCAAAAUGGUGCCGUAACUUCGGGAGAAGGCACGCUGAUAUGUAGGUGAAGUCCCUCGCGGAUGGAGCUGAAAUCAGUCGAAGAUACCAGCUGGCUGCAACUGUUUAUUAAAAACACAGCACUGUGCAAACACGAAAGUGGACGUAUACGGUGUGACGCCUGCCCGGUGCCGGAAGGUUAAUUGAUGGGGUUAGCGCAAGCGAAGCUCUUGAUCGAAGCCCCGGUAAACGGCGGCCGUAACUAUAACGGUCCUAAGGUAGCGAAAUUCCUUGUCGGGUAAGUUCCGACCUGCACGAAUGGCGUAAUGAUGGCCAGGCUGUCUCCACCCGAGACUCAGUGAAAUUGAACUCGCUGUGAAGAUGCAGUGUACCCGCGGCAAGACGGAAAGACCCCGUGAACCUUUACUAUAGCUUGACACUGAACAUUGAGCCUUGAUGUGUAGGAUAGGUGGGAGGCUUUGAAGUGUGGACGCCAGUCUGCAUGGAGCCGACCUUGAAAUACCACCCUUUAAUGUUUGAUGUUCUAACGUUGACCCGUAAUCCGGGUUGCGGACAGUGUCUGGUGGGUAGUUUGACUGGGGCGGUCUCCUCCUAAAGAGUAACGGAGGAGCACGAAGGUUGGCUAAUCCUGGUCGGACAUCAGGAGGUUAGUGCAAUGGCAUAAGCCAGCUUGACUGCGAGCGUGACGGCGCGAGCAGGUGCGAAAGCAGGUCAUAGUGAUCCGGUGGUUCUGAAUGGAAGGGCCAUCGCUCAACGGAUAAAAGGUACUCCGGGGAUAACAGGCUGAUACCGCCCAAGAGUUCAUAUCGACGGCGGUGUUUGGCACCUCGAUGUCGGCUCAUCACAUCCUGGGGCUGAAGUAGGUCCCAAGGGUAUGGCUGUUCGCCAUUUAAAGUGGUACGCGAGCUGGGUUUAGAACGUCGUGAGACAGUUCGGUCCCUAUCUGCCGUGGGCGCUGGAGAAUUGAGGGGGGCUGCUCCUAGUACGAGAGGACCGGAGUGGACGCAUCACUGGUGUUCGGGUUGUCAUGCCAAUGGCACUGCCCGGUAGCUAAAUGCGGAAGAGAUAAGUGCUGAAAGCAUCUAAGCACGAAACUUGCCCCGAGAUGAGUUCUCCCUGACUCCUUGAGAGUCCUGAAGGAACGUUGAAGACGACGACGUUGAUAGGCCGGGUGUGUAAGCGCAGCGAUGCGUUGAGCUAACCGGUACUAAUGAACCGUGAGGCUUAACCUU
rnacentral:rRNA from 1 species